rnacentral:rRNA from 1 species
AUGGUAUGCAUGCCGUCGCAAAAUCCCAGGGUGGGCCGCAGCCCACCCUGUCCACCCUCUGGAUCCGCCACUUCAUAUGAUAGCAAGGAAGAUAUUGUGAAUAAAUUUGCUUGUUGUGCUUGGAUCACAGUCUCACAGUCAUUUUCGAAGAUAGAGAUGCUCAAGGAGAUGAUAAGCCAACUUUUGGGUACCGAGUCAUUGAGGAAAUUCUUGAAAGAACUUGAACAGAAGGCAAUGCAAGUAGAGCAUCUCGCCAACUACCUCAGAGAAAAGCUAGAGGACAAGAAAUACCUUAUUGUUCUUGAUGAUGUGUCGACCAUAGAUGCCUGGAAUUGGAUCAAAUAUAUUGCUUUUCCUAUUAGAAACAAUAAAGGUAGCCGAAUAAUAUAG